rnacentral:rRNA from 1 species
UACGUAGGGCGCAAGCGUUGUCCGGAAUUAUUGGGCGUAAAGAGCUCGUAGGCGGUUUGUCGCGUCUGCUGUGAAAACCUAAGGCUCAACCUUGGGCUUGCAGUGGGUACGGGCAGACUAGAGUGCGGUAGGGGUGACUGGAAUUCCUGGUGUAGCGGUGGAAUGCGCAGAUAUCAGGAGGAACACCGAGUGGCGAAGGC